CUUCAAGUGAAAAAGAACCUGGGCACCUCUGCUACACGCAUUAAUUACACACCUGAGAAAAGGCCGCCAUCACGUGAAUGCCGACCUCGUUCCCUGUUGUCACGUGCCGCCUUCUUGAGCCGGGUCACAUUUAUUGUGGCAACGGACGUCGCGCGUCUCCAUGGAGACCGGCCAGUGCGGGAAUGCCAGGCAGAGGACAAGCACACACUGCACAGCUGGAGACACGACCGUACGGACUCUCAGCGGGUGAAGAUGGGCUGUAGUUUGUCUAAGAAAACCCCGUUAGAAGUGAUUCACGGACCAGCGGAGGAGACCGAAGAACAGGAGGAGGCAGCAGAUAAACAUGGAGGUCGAGGUGACUCGGCCGUGUCGAAGGGCACCUCAGACAGUGGCGUGGUGAUGGACAACAAAGAGUGCAUGUUGCCUGGAGUCGUGCCCUUUCAGCUUCCUCCUUUGAUCUCUGAGAGUGUAGGGAAAAGACAGGCAACACAAACAGGUUUAAAGCAGGGUGGAAGUCCAGCACAGGAGCGUUUGAAGUCCAGUGAGAUCCUGGAGGAGCUCCUCAAUGAGGGCAUCAUCCCAGGACAGAGCACAUCAGGAGAGGCCACUGGCAUCAUGUUGAAUAACAGUGAAGAGAGCAGACGGAGGCCUCCUGCCAGACUGGAAUCUCUGAGCACCAAAAAUACUCAAAGUGUCCUCAACAGGGACGAGAUUGACCAGAAGAUGAGACAGGCAGAGUCAAGGGGGGACGAGCUCAAAACACAAGUAGAGUCUUCGGUUGCUCGUCGUCCUGCUCCUCCUGCUCCUCCUGCUCCUGCUGCUGAGGAGGAGGAUGAUGAUGCCUUCCUCACACCUGUGGAGCUGCUGCAGUCAACUCUCCCUGCUGACGCUGGCCCUGCUCUGCAGCUUCACAUCAACGCCAUACGUGAAGUUGCUGAGGGAGAAGGCAGCACGAGAGUUAUUGAUGAGAGCGAGUGUAGACCAGACAGUGGAGGAGCGGAGGAGACCACAGGAAGAGAGCAGCAAUGGAUGAGGAGGGGGGGUGGAAGUGAAGGUGAAGAGCGAGGGAGUCAAAGUGUUGUGAAGGAAGAUGACGAGGUCACGAAAGUGGAGGAGUUGAUGGUUGGUCAGCUAGUCACAGCUUUGGAGGAGCUGGAGAAUGAUUCCAGCUUUCAACAUGGUGAGGAACAAGAGGGAACAUUCUAAUUAAAGGAGCUGUUCAUUAGAACAGGUAAGGGUAUGUAAAAGGUAUAUAUUUGGCAUAAGUUAUGAAUGCAAAAACAUUUUAUCUAAUGACUAAUGGAAAAA
rnacentral:lncRNA from 1 species